rnacentral:rRNA from 1 species
CGCGUAGGCGGACCUGCAAGUCGGGGGUGAAAGCCCGAGGCUCAACCUCGGAACUGCCUUCGAUACUGCGGGUCUCGAGUCCGGGAGAGGUGAGUGGAAUUCCUAGUGUAGAGGUGAAAUUCGUAGAUAUUAGGAAGAACACCAGUGGCGAAGGCGGCUCACUGGCUCGGUACUGACGCUGAGGCGCGAAAGCGUGGGGAGCAAACA